GGCGUCGAGCGGCGGACGGGUGAGUAACGCGUAGGAAUCUACCCAGUAGAGGGGGAUAGCCCGGGGAAACUCGGAUUAAUACCGUAUACCUCCUUCGGGAGAAAGAAGGCCUCUCUUUGAAGCUUUCGCUACUAGAUGAGCCUGCGUAAGAUUAGCUUGUUGGUGAGGUAAAGGCUCACCAAGGCGACGAUCUUUAGCUGGUCUGAGAGGACGACCAGCCACACUGGAACUGAGACACGGUCCAGACUCC
rnacentral:rRNA from 1 species